rnacentral:rRNA from 1 species
UACGGAGGGUGCAAGCGUUGUCCGGAAUCAUUGGGCGUAAAGAGCGCGCAGGCGGUCGUUCAAGUCGCGUGUGAAAGCCCCCGGCUCAAUUGGGGAGGGUCACGCGAUACUGAUCGACUCGAAGGCAGGAGAGGGUAGUGGAAUUCCCGGUGUAGUGGUGAAAUGCGUAGAUAUCGGGAGGAACACCAGUGGCGAAGGCGACUACCUGGCCUGUUCUUGACGCUGAGGCGCGAAAGCUAGGGGAGCAAACGGGG